AAGGGUUAUAGCUCUUUUAGAAUUUGUCUAGCAGAUUUUCUGACUUUUGUUGGAAAACAAC
ensembl:snRNA LOC120096372 U7 small nuclear RNA